AUCUUUAUCUGUAGUUAAGGGCAACAAUGACAACAAGUGGACAUUUGGCUUUUUUUCAAGUUCAAGUAAAAAUGUUGGUUACAAAAUAUUAACUUUAAUUAGUUGUGUUCAAUUAAGAUUUUAAUCAUGAUCAACAGAUAUGUUGUAAAAGGGAAAGUAUUGGACAGAAAAUGGGUUUACUCCCAAAUUUAAUAAUCAAUCAACUGAUUAAUCAAUCAAUCAUUCAAUCAAUCGGCUGGUUCAUCAGAAUGAAAAAAGACAUGUUUUGGGUGUAAGGCAACACUUGACUAGGGAUGAGCAGCUGAUAGUCAAUGGACAAUAUAAAUUAAUUUGCUUAUUUACGCUCGUUUUUUGGCCUUUCUCACUGUGAGA